rnacentral:rRNA from 1 species
AUUGAACGCUGGCGGCAGGCCUAACACAUGCAAGUCGAGCGGAUGAAGGGAGCUUGCUCCUGGAUUCAGCGGCGGACGGGUGAGUAAUGCCCAGGAAUCUGCCUGGCCGUGCGGGAUAACGUCCGGAAACGGGCGCUAAUACCGCAUCCGUCCAGAGGGAGAAAGUGGGGGAUCUUCGGUCCUCACGCUUUCUGAUGAGCCUAGGUCGGAUUAGCUAGUUGGUGGGGUAAAGGCCUACCAAGGCGACGAUCCGUAACUGGUCUGAGAGGGUGAUCAGUCACACUGGAACUGAGACACGGUCCAGACUCCUACGGGAGGCAGCAGUAGGGAAUAUUGGGCAAUGGGCGAAAGCCUGAUCGAGCCAUGCCGCGUGAGUGAAGAAGGUCUUCGGAUUGUAAAGCACUUUAAGUUGGGAGGAAGGACAGUAAGUUUAUACCUUGCUGUUUUGACGGUACCAGCAGAAUAAGCACCGGCUAACUUCGUG